CCCUUAGAGUUUGAUCCUGGCUCAGAUUGAACGCUGGCGGCAUGCCUUACACAUGCAAGUCGAACGGCAGCGCGGGGCAACUUGGCGGCGAGUGGCGAACGGGUGAGUAAUAUAUCGGAACGUACCCUGGAGUGGGGGAUAACGUAGCGAAAGUUACGCUAAUACCGCAUACGAUCUAAGGAUGAAAGUGGGGGAUCGCAAGACCUCAUGCUCCUGGAGCGGCCGAUAUCUGAUUAGCUAGUUGGUGGGGUAAAGGCCUACCAAGGCAUCGAUCAGUAGCUGGUCUGAGAGGACGACCAGCCACACUGGAACUGAGACACGGUCCAGACUCCUACGGGAGGCAGCAGUGGGGAAUUUUGGACAAUGGGCGAAAGCCUGAUCCAGCAAUGCCGCGUGAGUGAAGAAGGCCUUCGGGUUGUAAAGCUCUUUUGUCAGGGAAGAAACGGUGGUUUCUAAUACAGAUCACUAAUGACGGUACCUGAAGAAUAAGCACCGGCUAACUACGUGCCAGCAGCCGCGGUAAUACGUAGGGUGCAAGCGUUAAUCGGAAUUACUGGGCGUAAAGCGUGCGCAGGCGGUUUUGUAAGUCUGUCGUGAAAUCCCCGGGCUCAACCUGGGAAUUGCGAUGGAGACUGCAAGGCUAGAAUCUGGCAGAGGGGGGUAGAAUUCCACGUGUAGCAGUGAAAUGCGUAGAGAUGUGGAGGAACACCGAUGGCGAAGGCAGCCCCCUGGGUCAAGAUUGACGCUCAUGCACGAAAGCGUGGGGAGCAAACAGAUUAGAUACCCUGGUAGUCCACGCCCUAAACGAUGUCUACUAGUUGUCGGGUUU
rnacentral:rRNA from 1 species